rnacentral:rRNA from 1 species
CAGUCGCCACGGUAAAACGAAGGGUGCAAGCGUUAAUCGGAAUUACUGGGCGUAAAGCGUGCGUAGGUGGUGGUUUAAGUCCGUUGUGAAAGCCCUGGGCUCAACCUGGGAAUUGCAGUGGAUACUGGAUCACUAGAGUGUGGUAGAGGAUAGUGGAAUUUCCGGUGUAGCAGUGAAAUGCGUAGAGAUCGGAAGGAACAUCUGUGGCGAAGGCGACUAUCUGGGCCAACACUGACACUGAGGCACGAAAGCGUGGGGAGCAAACAGGAUUAGAGACCCCUGUAGUCCCUGUCUCUUAUAC